UACGGAGGGUGCAAGCGUUAUCCGGAUUCACUGGGUUUAAAGGGUGCGUAGGGGGGUUGGUAAGUCAGUGGUGAAAUCUCCAGGCUUAACUUGGAAACUGCCAUUGAUACUAUCAAUCUUGAAUACCGUGGAGGUCAGCGGAAUAUGUCAUGUAGCGGUGAAAUGCUUAGAUAUGACAUAGAACACCAAUCGCGAAGGCAGCUGGCUACACGAAUAUUGACACUGAUGCACGAAAGCGUGGGGAUCAAACAGG
rnacentral:rRNA from 1 species